rnacentral:lncRNA from 1 species
GGAUACCUGGAGUACCAGCAGGUGCCUGACAGUGACCCUGCUCGCUACGAGUUCCUGUGGGGUCCCCAGGCCCAUGCGGAGACCAGAAAGCAGCAAGUCAUGGCGUUUGUGCUCGGGGUCAGACAAAGGGCUUUGAGGGCCUUCCCACUUCAGUCUGCAGAGGCUGCGAGGGAGGACGACAAGGAGGCCUGAGCCAGAGCGGCAGCCAGCCAACCCUUCCCUCUGCGAUUGAAGAGGGAGCGUUCAGCCUUCUCAGAACUGAGGGCCUGGACCAGCUGGGGGCGCCAUUCUGUAGCUUCUUUGGGUUCCUGUUCUUUAUGACGAUAGGCAGAUUCAUCUCUGUUUCCUUUAGGAAACUGUCAAACUUGAAUUG